CAAAAGUUUAGUCCUGACUUUACUAUCAGCUUUAGCUAUAUUUAUACAUGUAAGUCUCCGCAGCCCUGUGAGAAUGCCCUCCAUCCCCCGCCCGGGGAUGAGGAGCAGGUAUCAGGCACAAACCAUUUAGCCCAAGACGCCUUGCCAUGCCACACCCCCAAGGGAAUUCAGCAGUAAUUAAUUUUAAGCCAUAAGCGAAAGCUUGACUCAGUUAAAGCUAAGAGGGCCGGUAAAACCCGUGCCAGCCACCGCGGUUAUACGAGAGGCCCAAGUUGAUAUGCGCGGCGUAAAGGGUGGUUUAGGGAAGACAACAAUAAAGCCGAAGGACCACUUGGCCGUCGUACGCUCCUGAGCAUCCGAAGCCCAAAUACGAAAGUAGCUUUAACAUCAGUCCACCUGAUCCCACGAAAACUGAGAAACAAACUGGGAUUAGAUACCCCACUAUGCUCAGUCGUAAACUUAGAUGUCAAACCACAAUAGACAUCCGCCAGGGUACUACGAGCACCAGCUUAAAACCCAAAGGACUUGGCGGUGCCUUAGACCCACCUAGAGGAGCCUGUUCUAGAACCGAUAACCCCCGUUAAACCUCACCACUUCUAGCCAUACCGCCUAUAUACCGCCGUCGUCAGCUUACCCCGUGAUGGCUUAGCAGUAAGCAAAAUGAAUAAAGUCCAGAACGUCAGGUCGAGGUGUAGUGUAUGAAGUGGGAAGAAAUUGGCUACAUUUUCUAAAAUAGAAUAUACGAAUAGCACUAAAUGAAAAACAUGCUCGAAGGAGGAUUUAGUAGUAAAAAGGAAGCAGAGAGUCCUUUUGAAUUUGGCUCUGAGACGCGUACAUACCGCCCGUCACCCUCCCCACCAAACAACAUUACAAGUAAUUUAACACUAAAACAAGUAGGACAGGAGAGGCAAGUCGUAACAUGGUAAGUGUACCGGAAGGUGCACUUGGAUAAAACC
rnacentral:ncRNA from 1 species